rnacentral:snRNA from 1 species
UGUUUUGCGCAGAGGCGGUACCAUAGCCAAUGAGGGUUAUCCAAGGCGUGGUUAUUGCUAGUUGAAAAUAG